rnacentral:lncRNA from 1 species
AAUGCAAGUGUUUAACAGAUGCUUCACUAUUAAAAUAUUUUCCCCCCAAGUCUCAAAUAUUGAAGAAUCUCUAACCAGGCUCGAAACGCCGGUCUCAGUGGCUAUUGAGUUACCCACCAAGUUACCCCGGUUAGAGCUGUUUGGGGUGGCUCACGUUAUUGCGGCAAACUUUGGAGAUGACGGCUGAGUCCUCCGGGCGAACAUGUCAAGCCGAUUGUAAAUGCUGUUAUUUCCACAUCCUUCAGGGACACCAGUCCCUACGAAGACCUUGGGCGAUUUUGAAGUGCGGGCACCUCGAUUCCCCGAAUCUGUAGUGUGGCUGGUAUCGGUGUUCCCCUGGUUUAACUAGCCUGUUUGAAGGCACAGAUCAUUCAUGGGGAUGUAUAACCGAAACCAGUCCUCUCCACCGCCUGGGGAUCUUCACUUUCGCAGUCUACGACUGCCUGUGACUCCAGAAAGACAAACUGCAGAUUGGCCAAGCUGCCUGAAGACCCAGCCCGACAGCGAUGCCUGUCAGCCCGCGUCGCCCACCAGGGCAGCUGCUCUCCCAACUCG